rnacentral:rRNA from 1 species
UAAUACAGAGGGUGCGAGCGUUAAUCGGAAUGACUGGGCGUAAAGCGCGCGUAGGCGGUUAUACAAGUUGGGUGUGAAAUCCCUGGGCUUAACCUAGGAAUUGCAUUCAAAACUAUAUGACUUGAGUGAAGUAGAGGUAAGUGGAAUUUCCGGAGUAGCGGUGAAAUGCGUAGAUACCGGAAGGAACACCAGUGGCGAAGGCGACUUACUGGGCUUUAACUGACGCUGAGGUGCGAAAGCGUGGGGAGCAAACAGG